GCGGCGUGCCUAACACAUGCAAGUACGAGCGAAGCGAUUUCGUAGGAAGUUUUCGGUAUGGAAGUUGGUAAGUUGACUGAGCGGCGGACGGGUGGAGUAACGCGUGGGUAACCGUGCCUCAUACAGGGGGAUAACAGUUAGAAAUGACUGCUAAUACCGCAUAAGCGCACAGGACCGCAUGGUCUGGUGUGAAAAACUCCGGUGGUAUGAGAUGGACCCGCGUCUGAUUAGCUGGUUGGUGGGGUAACGGCCUACCAAGGCGACGAUCAGUAGCCGACCUGAGAGGGUGACCGGCCACAUUGGGACUGAGACACGGCCCAAACUCCUACGGGAGGCAGCAGUGGGGAAUAUUGCACAAUGGGGGAAACCCUGAUGCAGCGACGCCGCGUGAGCGAAGAAGUAUUUCGGUAUGUAAAGCUCUAUCAGCAGGGAAGAAAAAUGACGGUACCUGACUAAGAAGCCCCGGCUAACUACGUGCC
rnacentral:rRNA from 1 species